CUAACUAACGUUACCUAACAAUAACAUCGACUAGCGUGUUGCCAGGAACGUCAGCUACAAACAUGUUCCAGUACCGGACCUGAGCCCUAGGACCAUGCCUCAGGACUACCUGGCAUAAUGACUCCUUGCUGUCCGCAGUCCACCUGGCCGUGCUGCUGCUCCAGUUUCAACUGUUCUGCCUGCGGCUAUGUUCUGUUAUAAUCUCCACCCGGCACAGUCAGGAGAGGACUGGCCACCCCUCAUAGCCUGGUUCCUCUCUAGAUUUCUUCCUAGGUUUUGGCCUUUCUAGGGAGUUUUUCCUAGCCACCGUGCUUCUACACCUUCAUUGCUUGCUGUUUGGGGUUUUAGGCUGGGUUUCUGUACAGCACUUUGAGAUAUCAGCUGAUGUAAGAAGGGCUGUAUAAAUAAAUUUGAUUUGAAGCAUGGGG